rnacentral:lncRNA from 1 species
UCCCCCUGACUGACACAGGGGGCCAAGCGCAAUGACAAACGCCGCAGCGAGGGACCAAGAUCAGCGACGCGGAAAAACAGAGCGUAAACCACACACAUAAGCAAGCGACGAAACCUGGAAUGUCCGGCCUUACAAGCCACACAACACAGGGAUUUGCAGGCUUGCUCCACCACAAAGCUUCCGCUGUCCGCCGUCUCCGGGAGGAACGUGGCACCAGCCGCGCGGCGCGGGGCAGAGCUCGGCGGAGGCGGGUNNNNN